CUGAGGCGCCCGAGGCGCUCUGCCCGCCCGCAUGGCCGAGGCUCCCGUUGAGGACCCGAGCGACGCGCUCAGGACGCAGCAGUGCUGGAAGCUCGUCAGGAACCUGGAGGCCGCUAUUCAGCAGUUCCAGUGCCACCCCAGAAAUGCCAUUUCAGAUGAUCUAAAAGUUGGCUUUUUCACCACAGACCAUGCUACUCAAACAUAUGCUAGUGAAAUUGUGCCUCUGAAAGAGCUGAGUUCAUCUACACAAAAGCUAGCACAGGUUGUUACAUCCCUUCAGGUAGAUUUUAAGUUCCUUAAAGAACUGGUUCAGUUGAAGUUUGAAGAACGACUUAAAGAGGAGUCAUCUAAUAUCUCCAUUGCUCUGUAUGACAGGAUCCUAGAGAUGGAAAAACACAACCAACAGAAUAUGGAGAACAUGAGAAAAUGCUUUCAGCAGCAGUUAGCUGAUGCCAUCGCUGUCAUCAAAGGGAUGUACCAGAAAAAAAUGUGUGGCAGUAAAAUCUAG
rnacentral:lncRNA from 1 species